UAUAUGAAAGUUAUACCAACCAAAGAAUUUUAAAUUCAAAUGAGCAGGACUCCUUUAGAAAACAUAAAUAAAUUAGAAGAAGUUGAAAAGCAAAUAGCUCAAAUAUUACAGUAUUCGGGUCUAUUAUUGAAUGAAAUGUCCAAAGAAAAAUCUGUAGCAAAACAAGUUGAAAAUUUAAAUAAUCAGUUUACCAAAGAAAUUGAGAAAGUUUAUAUUGAAUUACUAAGUAAUAUAAAUUAUUUAGUGGAAAUCAGUUCAGGUCAACAACAUGAGGGAUCAUCUUAUGCACGGAUGAAAAGUUUACAACUCUCUUUAAACUCCUUGGAUAUUAUUCAAAAUCAAUUGAGUGAACAAUUAUGAUCUUAUAUGAUAUGGA